CCUACGGGAGGCAGCAGUAAGGAAUAUUGCGCAAUGGGCGAAAGCCUGACGCAGCGACGCCGCGUGGGGGAUGAAGGUCUUCGGAUUGUAAACCCCUUUCGGGAGGGAAGAUGGAACGAGCAAUCGUUCGGACGGUACCUCCAGAAGCAGCCACGGCCAACUUCGUGCCAGCAGCCGCGGUAAU
rnacentral:rRNA from 1 species